UACGUGGGGAGCAAGCGUUGUUCGGAUUUACUGGGCGUAAAGGGCGCGCAGGCGGCUUGGCAAGUCGGGUGUGAAAUCCCGGGGCUCAACCCCGGGACUGCAUUCGAUACUGUCAGGCUAGAGGUAGGUAGGGGAGAUCGGAAUUCCUGGUGUAGCGGUGAAAUGCGCAGAUAUCAGGAGGAACACCGGUGGCGAAGGCGGAUCUCUGGGCCUUACCUGACGCUCAGGCGCGAAAGCUAGGGGAGCGAACAGG
rnacentral:rRNA from 1 species